rnacentral:rRNA from 1 species
AUGGGAAAGGAAGAGGCGACCAUGACAGAUCGGGGAGGAGGAGAGCUCCCAGCAAGAGUAGAACGAAGAGGAAACACACAAAUGACAGACGGGGAUGAACCUGCUAAUCACGAAAAAGAUGAAGAACAUGAUCCACAGUGUAAAUUUCUCCUAAAUUCCAGAGUAAAAGUAGUUGCAAACAAAAUGAAGUAA